AGAGCCAUGCAACUAAUCACCUCACAGUCCAGCUGGCAGUGGGAGAUCUGGUUUCCAUUUCAAUGCAACACUUUUUUUUAAUAAUGACCAGAAGGAUUUGACACUAAGGAGAGAGAGAGAGUAGCCACAUCCAAACAUCUACAAUGUUUCAGGAUUUAUCAAUAUGUAAUCUGUGAGCACAACCUUUCCACAUGUGUAAGUAAAUCAGAAAAACAGAACUCAGUUUUUUAUAUUGUUUCUUGGUAAAGACAGCACAGAGGCACUAUAGCUGGAAUGAAGGGUGCAGAGCUGAAAACAUCCCUCUGGAGCUGGUCCUCUGUGUCCUGCAGAGAGCUCCAGGACAAGGUGUAAUUUCACUUAAAGAUCAGAAGGGCACUGGUUAGGAUAAUUGAUACCCUGGAGGUAGUGGUUGAGUUGUGCAAGAAAAACUGCCACUAUGGCCUUCUUCAUUAGUGAACUGGGACAGAGAGAAACAGGGUGAUGGAUUAUCAGUAUUUAAUGCCAGAAAGGAGAAUGAUUGCAAGUAAUGGGUGAUCAUUUUGUUAAGGUGUAAAAUCAUUCCAGUAUAUUUUAAUUUUUCCAUCACAAGAUAAUGCAAAUAAAAACAAGGAUCUUAGCAUAGAUUAAGCAUUUUAAACCCAUUGUACUGUUUUGUCGUUUAUUAAAUACACAUGAGAAUUU